rnacentral:rRNA from 1 species
CUGGCGGAAUGCUUUACACAUGCAAGUCGAGCGGCAGCGCGGGGCAACCUGGCGGCGASCGGCGAACGGGUGAGUAAUGCAUCGGAACAUGUCCAUUCGUGGGGGAUAGCCCGGCGAAAGCCGGAUUAAUACCGCAUACGCCCUGAGGGGGAAAGUGGGGGACCGCAAGGCCUCACGCGAAUGGGUUGGCCGAUGCCCGAUUAGCUAGUUGGUGGGGUAAAGGCUUACCAAGGCGAUGAUCGGUAGCUGGUCUGAGAGGAUGAUCAGCCACACUGGGACUGAGACACGGCCCAGACUCCUACGGGAGGCAGCAGUGGGGAAUUUUGGACAAUGGGGGCAACCCUGAUCCAGCCAUUCCGCGUGAGUGAAGAAGGCCUUCGGGUUGUAAAGCUCUUUUGUCCGGAACGAAACGGAGUGCGUGAAUAUCGCGCUCUACUGACGGUACCGGAAGAAUAAGCACCGGCUAACUACGUGCCAGCAGCCGCGGUAAUACGUAGGGUGCGAGCGUUAAUCGGAAUUACUGGGCGUAAAGCGUGCGCAGGCGGUUUUGUAAGCCAGAUGUGAAAGCCCCGGGCUUAACCUGGGAAUGGCAUUUGGGACUGCAAGGCUUGAGUGCGGCAGAGGAGA